ACAAUGUACCGGAAAAAAGCGGAAAGACACACAAAAGCGAAUUGAUGGCAUUAGUAUGAAAGCAGGCAUGUGGCGGGGGAGUUGGUGGGACAAACAUGCAAAACAAAAGGCCUCCAGGAGUCCUGCACGAGCGUCCUCCACGGGGAGUCGCCACGCGGUCGGCGCCGGGCCCCGUAUCAAACCGGUCUGGAAGCGUGCCAAAGGCGGAGGAUUCCUCCCUCCACUGGGUGUCCAUCUUAACAAAAGUGCUUUGAGUAGGCCUAGAUGUCGCGGGAUGCUCAGAGAGUGUGCUGCUGAGAGACGUUGUUCUGCGGAGCGUAGCCGUCCCGCCCCGUUGGCCUCGACCGACGGCUGGUGUCCCAUCAAGUGGUCAAGCGCCAGCGAUUGCAGAGCGUUGUUGCGUCACCAUUCCGUGCGCCAUCGAAGCAGGUUUGGGGAAGAAAUUACCAAGAAGAAGACGGUGACCUCAACCAUCUACCAGGAGUUCAGUUCAACAACCUCACGAACCUUCAGCGAUGUGUGUCUGACUCAUUAAACAGCUCAGUUUUUUCUUAUUUGUAUUUAAAAUAUUAAUAUAUUAUUUAAUAUGAACAGUAACAUCAACAUUGAUCAUUUAAGUAUAUUUAUUUGUUUUAUUUAUUGAAUAAGAAUACACUUUCAUAUUGAAUAAAAUGCC
ensembl:lncRNA